rnacentral:sRNA from 1 species
GCCAGGCAUGCUGGCACGUGCCUGUAGUCCCAGCUACUCAGGAAGCUGAGAUGGGAGAAUCACUUGAGCCCAGGAAGUCAAGGCUGCAGUGAGCCAUGAUCGCACCACCGCACUCCAGCCUGGGCAACAAAGUAAGACCCCAUCUCAA